rnacentral:ncRNA from 1 species
AUAAAUCUGUUGACAAGGAAGAGUAGUCAUUUUGUUUAGUUAAAGAGAGCUGAGGGCGGUGGAAUCUCAGUACAAAAACCUUUGAUGAAUGGACCUUUGAGGAUUAAACCGAAAUUCUUUAAAACUUUUAAAGAAGAGUAGUGGUUAACGUUUUUCGUACGUUAUAACGAAUAGGAUAUGUUAGUAUUCGAAAAAGAGGUGUUUUUUUAACACAAUUUAGGUGGUACCGCGGAAGUAUCUCCGUCCUAAUG